rnacentral:rRNA from 1 species
GACGAACGCUGGCGGCGUGCCUAAUGCAUGCAAGUCGCACGCAGGGUGCUUGCACUCUGAGUGGCGCACGGCUGAGGAUCACGUGGGAACCUGCCACCUUGUGGGGGACAACAGCGCGAAAGCGCUGCUAAUCCCGCAUACGCUCGUGAGAGGAAAGCUUAUCAAGCGCAGGGUGAGGGGCCCGCGGCCCAUCAGGUCGUAGGUGGGGUAACGGCCUACCUAGCCGAUGACGGGUAGCUGGUCUGUGAGGACAGACAGCCAGACUGGGACUGAGACACGGCCCAGACUCCUACGGGAGGCAGCAGCAAGGAAUUUUCGUCAAUGGGCGCAAGCCUGAACGAGCAACGCCGCGUGGAGGAUGACGGCCUUCGGGUUGUAAACUCCUUUUUCGGGGGACGAUGAUGACGGUACCCCGGGAAUAAGGCUCGGCUAACUCUGUGCCAGCAGCCGCAGUAAGAC